rnacentral:tRNA from 1 species
GCCAGAGUGGUGAAAUUGGUAGACACAGGGGAUUCAAAAUCCCCCGCUAGCGAUAGUGUGCCGGUUCGAGUCCGGCCUCUGGUACCA